rnacentral:rRNA from 1 species
CCCAGACUCCUACGGGAGGCAGCAGUAGGGAAUAUUGCACAAUGGGGGAAGCCCUGAUGCAGCGACGCCGCGUGAGCGAUGAAGUAUUUCGGUAUGUAAAGCUCUCUCAGCAGGGAAGAAAAUGACGGUACCUGACUAAGAAGCCCCGGCUAACUACGUGCCAGCAGCCGCGGUAAUACGUAGGGGGCAAGCGUUAUCCGGAUUUACUGGGUGUAAAGGGAGCGUAGACGGCUUGGCAAGCCAGAUGUGAAAGGCUGGGGCUCAACCCCGGGACUGCUCUUGGAACUGCGUGGCUGGAGUGCAGGAGGGGCAGGCGGAAUUCCUGGUGUAGCGGUGAAAUGCGUAGAUAUCAGGAGGAACACCGGUGGCGAAGGCGGCCUGCUGGACUGCAACUGACGUUGAGGCCCGAAAGCGUGGGGAGCAAACAGGAUUAGAUACCCGAGUA